rnacentral:lncRNA from 1 species
CACCUGGCCAAUCAUAGGAGACUAAGGAAAGCAAGAGGCAGCCAUUUGAUUGGACAAGUACAGGCCUGGAAUUUCAUCCUGUGAAGAGGGCACAGCUAGUGCCAAAGUAAUCACCUAAUACACAACCCCCAGAAGCAUUAUGCUGACAGAUCCUGAUGUUCCCCUUCUGUGUUUUCAUUGGAGCUGUGCAGUUAUGUCUUCAAUCAAAUGGAAAUAUGCUGUGAGAGAUGCUGAAUGGAAUUUUUUAAAAGGCAAUGAGGAUCACAGUGACUACUCCUUGCUGAUUUCUGGUGGGGAAGGAAUAGCAGGAAAAUAAACUAAACACGAAAAAAUCGUUGUUUCUUCCACAUUGCCAUGUAAAGAUACUUUGCUUGCUGUGUUCUAUACACAUUUAAUCAGAUCAGUCUAGCUGAUAAAAUAAAAGCUCCCCUCCCCUGGCCCCAUGCUAAUUAUUCUUGUUAAUUAUUUUUUAAUUAUCUUUCUAUCACUGCUUCUAGAACAACUGUCAUAAUUUCCACCUCAGAGGCUCCAGACAUGACAUACCUAUAAACGUAGUAUCAAGGAUGGUGGCUGGUGUGUGAAUGCUUUCAGAAGAAACACAGAAGAGAAAUCAAACCCAAAUGCCAUUCUUAGCACAUUACGAUGGCGGAGACACAGAGGGCAAUAUUCAGGAUAAUAGGAGAAGAGAAGAGGAGGGACACCGCAGAAGCACAGCCAUGAGACGGCAGACACGGGUAACGGUGGUAUCAGAUUACAGUAGCCUUUACAGGAUGAUUCCCUCUGGCCCUGUUUGAAGCAGUUAAGUAACAGUGUUUUUAAAAAAAUUUAAUGUAAAUAUGUAUACUGUGACAGAAAUUGCAUCUUUGGUAAUCAUUUAAACUUCAGAUAGAAAAAAAUUAUGUCAAUUAAUGUUUGAACGAAUAAGAAAUUAUUCAGCAUUAUGUGGGGUAAUGCAGGCAAAUGUGUGAAGAUCAGUUAAUAGUUAAUCUUUAAUUUUUCUUCCAAUUGUUAAAUUCUGUGAUUCAAGGCACUUUUAUUUGAAAUAUACAAACAAAAUUUAAAUAAAUAUUAAAUUUUUUUUUCUUCUUGAACUCA